UUACGGCCACAUCACGUUGAAACGCCGGUUCUGGUACGGUCUCCGAAGUUAAACAACGUCGAACCUGGUCAGUAUUUAGAUGGGUAACCGUUUGGAAAUACCUGGUGCU